CUAACAGCUGCAGAGAUUGGAAUAAGCCUUGCAUAUUAGAAAAUUAAAGAAAAUGCAGCUGAGUACUAUGUAAAGCAGCUAAGGUCUGUGGCUGUGAGAAGCGUUAACACUCAACAGACAGAAGCAAAUCAAGCAUAUGGGGAGAAUCACAGCUAGGGUAAUGUGAAGUAACUUUAAAUUCACUGCCUUAGCACCAUGAUCUUACCAAAAAGUAACUUUUGGCCAUAAGAGAAAGGAACUAAGCAGAGGAAAACCAGAGGAACUGGUGAAAGGAUGUCAUGAAUAUUUUCCUGGAAAAUAGCUACCAGAUUGACCAAAUCAAGAUAAAGUAAAUAAAAGUACCGGGAGAUUAGUAACCAAAA